rnacentral:misc_RNA from 1 species
UGACCAUCAGCACCAUCUUCAGUAUAGCUUGGCUCAUCCUCAUCACUUGCUGAACUUUUCCCUUUAUCUCCCUUGUUGUAAUUAAUCAGGGAAAUGGUUUUAUCAGAGUUGUUCAAAGUUCCCAUGGAAAGGGGAGAACCCUCAUGAACUGAGGGAUGGAUUGAGGGGCCUUGGCGAUGAACAAGAUGUUGUUGCUGGUGAACAGCAUGCGGGUACAGUGCUUGAUGACGAAGUCUAAUUGAUCCUUGCAAGUCAAGACCUCCAAAAGGAGCCCCACCAGGCAUCAUACCUCCUUGUGACAAAUUCCCUUCCAUUUUGUUUGUUUCAGAACGAAUUUGAUCAGACCCACGAGCCCAUUUUCCUAAAACCUUAAUUAGUGUCCCUUUUUGUCUCUCAAGAAGUCAAUUAACAAUUUUUUAUGCUCUUAUUAAGCUAUAAUAAAGCAAACCCAUUUCUCAUUUUUGCCUUUGGAAUCAUCUCAUCAAAUCCUCCAGCUAUAUAGAUUCUCAAGCAUGUAUAUUCAAUUCACAGCAGGCAAACAAACACAAACCCUCUUUCAGAACUCUGGCUCAAAAAUCAAAGAAAAAACUUCACUAACAUACCCAGUUCCAAAUUUUUCGAAUUCACCAAUAGUUAAUAAGAAAAGCACCGAACAUUCAAACCCAAAUAAAAAUAAAUAAAUAAAUAAAUA